UACAGAGGGGGCAAGCGUUAUUCGGAAUGAUUGGGCGUAAAGCGUCCGCAGGUGGCAAUGUAAGUCUGCUGUCAAAGCGUCUGGCUCAACCAGAUAAAGGCAGUGGAAACUACAUAGCUAGAGUAAGGUAGGGGUAGAGGGAAUUCCUGGUGUAGCGGUGAAAUGCGUAGAGAUCAGGAAGAACACCGGUGGCGAAAGCGCUCUGCUGGACCUUAACUGACACUGAGGGACGAAAGCUAGGGGAGCGAAUGGG
rnacentral:rRNA from 1 species